UUUAGAUCUCUCGGUGUCCAGAUGACUUUACUUUCCAAGAAUGGAAACAAAGAGAAAGAUCGCGCGUGCGAUCCAGGGAAGCCGGCUUUGCGAGAGACACGCGAAGAUCAGGGAAAGGUCUUAAUGAAGAUUCGUGGGAAGAAGCGCAGAGAAGAAACGUAUCUUCGUCAUUACCCGGCGAUGGCGACGUUCAGGUUUAUAAGGAAACAGGAGACACUCGCCACUUAAAGUUAUGCCACUGAGUCUGGAGAGCAGCUGGCUUUACAUGAAAUUCAUUAAAACCACACAAGCAGAGACCGUGGUUUUCUCUGGAAAAAAAAGGGAGAAGCUUCAGGUUUUAGAAGAGUGUUACUGGUAAUCUCUCCACGAGGCACUUCAAGCAGCAACAU